UACAGAGGGUGCGAGCGUUGUUCGGAAUUAUUGGGCGUAAAGGGCGCGUAGGCGGUGCGGUAAGUCACCUGUGAAAUCUCCUGGCUCAACUGGGAGCUUGCAGGCGAAACUGCCGUGCUGGAGUGUGGGAGAGGUGCGUGGAAUUCCUGGUGUAGCGGUGAAAUGCGUAGAUAUCAGGAGGAACACCGGCGGUGUAGACGGCUCUCUGGACCGUAACUGACGCUGAGACACGAAAGCUAGGGGGAGCAAACAGG
rnacentral:rRNA from 1 species